AGAGUUUGAUCCUGGCUCAGAACGAACGCUGGCGGCGUGGAUAAGACAUGCAAGUCGAACGAGAUUUUUCGUUGUAGCAAUACGAUGGAAAGUUUAGUGGCGAACGGGUGCUUAACACGUGGGCAACCUGCCGUGAAGUGGGGGAUAGCUCGCCGAAAGGCGAAUUAAUACCGCAUGUGAUUAGAGAGGACAUCCUUUCGAAAUUAAAGUCGGGGCAACCUGACGCUUCUUGUGGGGCCCGCGGCCUAUCAGCUAGUUGGUGAGGUAACGGCUCACCAAGGCUUUGACGGGUAGCUGGUCUGAGAGGACGACCAGCCACACUGGGACUGAGACACGGCCCAGACACCUACGGGUGGCAGCAGUCGAGAAUUUUUGACAAUGGGGGAAACCCUGAUCGAGCGACGCCGCGUGGAGGAUGAAGGUCUUCGGAUUGUAAACUCCUGUCAUUGGGGAACAAGGUGCAUACGUUAACUGCGUGUGCAUUGAUAGUACCCGAAGAGGAAGAGACGGCUAACUCUGUGCCAGCAGCCGCGGUAAUAC
rnacentral:rRNA from 1 species